rnacentral:rRNA from 1 species
UACGGAGGGUGCAAGCGUUAUUCGGAAUUAUUGGGCGUAAAGGGCGCGUAGGCGGUCUCUAAAGUCAGAUGUGAAAGCCCGGGGCUUAACCCCGGAAGUGCAUUUGAAACUCAGGGACUUGAGUAUGGGAGAGGGAAGUGGAAUUCCUGGUGUAGCGGUGAAAUGCGUAGAUAUCAGGAGGAACACCAGUGGCGAAGGCGACUUCCUGGACCAAUACUGACGCUGAGGCGCGAAGGCGUGGGGAGCAAACAGG